AGUGUCUAUGGGCUGAUGAUACAUGAUGCCCACGUGUACACACAGCCAUUGACCUCACGUUCAAACUUCAAUCCAUGUCAUCAUUAACUGCAGACAAGAGAAAGACCUAAGUGUGCACCUGCACCAAGGCACCGAGAUGCACACGAACCAAGGUUUAAGACAUAUCUCCUUACCCUACUGCCCUCUGCCACAAUCAAAUGAUGUCACUGUGAACAGAGAAGUCAACGACACCAUCAACAAGCUAAGGUAACAGCAGAUGAAAAUUCAUAAACUCAAUAGUGAAAUUCAGUUUUAUCAGUAAAUCUUAGCUAUAUGAAUUCUAU
rnacentral:lncRNA from 1 species